rnacentral:rRNA from 1 species
UAGAGUAAUGCGUGACCAACCUGCCCAUGCUCCAGAAUAGCUCUUGGAAACGGGUGGUAAUGCUGGAUGCUCCAACUUGACGCAUGUCUUGUUGGGAAAGUGUUUAGUGGCAUGGGAUGGGGUCGCGUCCUAUCAGCUUGUAGGCGGGGUAAUGGCCCACCUAGGCUUCGACGGGUAGCCGGCCUGAGAGGGCGGACGGCCACAUUGGGACUGAGAUACGGCCCAGACUCCUACGGGAGGCAGCAGAC